ensembl:snRNA U6 U6 spliceosomal RNA
GUACUCACUCUGGCCGUACAUAUACUCAAAUGGGAAGAAUAUAGAGAUUAGCACAGCCCCUACACAAGGAUGACACGUAAAACGAUGGUUUUUACAAAAGAUGU